AGAGUUUGAUCAUGGCUCAGAAUCAACGCUGGCGGCGUGCCUAACACAUGCAAGUCGAACGCGACUCAGGCUUCGGCCUGAGUUGAGUGGCGAACGGGUGAGUAACACGUGGGUGACCUACCUUCGAGUGGGGGAUAACGUCCCGAAAGGGACGCUAAUACCGCAUAACAUCCUGCCUUUGGACAGGUGGAGAUCAAAGCUGGGGAUCGCAAGACCUGGCGCUUGAUGAGGGGCCCGCGUCCGAUUAGCUAGUUGGUGAGGUAAUGGCUCACCAAGGCAACGAUCGGUAGCCGGCCUGAGAGGGCGGACGGCCACACUGGGACUGAGACACGGCCCAGACUCCUACGGGAGGCAGCAGUCGGGAAUUUUGCCCAAUGGACGAAAGUCUGAGGCAGCAACGCCGCGUGAGGGAUGAAGGCCUUCGGGUUGUAAACCUCUUUUCUCAGGGACGAUGAUGACGGUACCUGAGGAAUAAGCCACGGCAAACUACGUGCCAGCAGCCGCGGUAAUACGUAGGUGGCAAGCGUUGUCCGGAUUUACUGGGCGUAAAGAGCGCGCAGGCGGUCGGUCAAGUCGGAUGCGAAAGCCCCCGGCUCAACUGGGGAGGGUCGUCGGGGACCGCACCGCUUGAGGGCGGUAGGGGCUGGUGGAAUGCCUGGUGUAGUGGUGAAAUGCGUAGAGAUCAGGCGGAACACCCGUGGCGAAGGCGGCCAGCUGGGCCGUCCCUGACGCUGAGGCGCGAAGGCGUGGGGAGCGAACGGGAUUAGAUACCCCCGUAGUCC
rnacentral:rRNA from 1 species